rnacentral:rRNA from 1 species
AACGAACGCUGGCGGCAGGCUUAACACAUGCAAGUCGAACGCCCCGCAAGGGGAGUGGCAGACGGGUGAGUAACGCGUGGGAACAUACCCUUUCCUGCGGAAUAGCUCUGGGAAACUGGAAUUAAUACCGCAUACGCCCUACGGGGGAAAGAUUUAUCGGGGAAGGAUUGGCCCGCGUUGGAUUAGCUAGUUGGUGGGGUAAAGGCCUACCAAGGCGACGAUCCAUAGCUGGUCUGAGACGAUGAUCAGCCACAUUGGGACUGAGACACGGCCCAAACUCCUACGGGAGGCAGCAGUGGGGAAUAUUGGACAAUGGGCGCAAGCCUGAUCCAGCCAUGCCGCGUGAGUGAUGAAGGCCUUAGGGUUGUAAAGCUCUUUCACCGAUGAAGAUAAUGACGGUAGUCGGAGAAGAAGCCCCGGCUAACUUCGUGCCAGCAGCCGCAGUAACAC